rnacentral:rRNA from 1 species
GCUAUAAACUUAGCCCAACCCAGCACGAAUUUUACUAAAUUAAUUAACUUAUUUUAAUAAACCAUUCUAAGACUCUAGUGAAGGUGAUUGAGAAACUUAUUGGAGCUACAACAAUAGUACCGCAAGGGAAUAGUGAAAUAUCCAAUGAGAAAUUCUAAGCGAGAGAAAGUUAAGACUACUACUUGUACCUUUUGCAUUAUGGUUUAACUAGUCUAAUCAAGCGAAACGUAUUCCAGUUUGACCCCCCGAAACUAAGUGAGCUACUUCAGGGCAGCUUAAAGAGCUAACCCGUCUCUGUGGCAAAAGAGUGGGAUGACCCUCAAGUAGUGGUGACAGACCUAACGAACUUAGUGAUAGCUGGUUACUCAAGAAACGGAUCUAAGUCCAACCUGAAACCACACCUCAUAAGUUUACCAAAACAAUCUUCUACCUUUCAGCGUAAUUGGAAUAAGGUACAGCCUAUUUGAAACAGGAUACAACCUAAGCCAAUGGAUAAGAUUAGCCUGACGAACAACCAAGUGGGCCUAAAAGCAGCCAUCUUUAAAAUUGCGUCAAAGCUUAAUUCUUGUAACGCCUAAUGACUUGAUUAAUAUCUUAAUCCCCAAUCAACACUGAGUAAUUCUAUAAUACUAUAGAAAAUUUUAUGUUAAAACUAGUAACAAGAAGAAGGCUCUUCUCUUAAAUGUAAGUGUAAAUCAGAAAGGACAAGCCACUGAUAUUUAACACCCUUGAACCUAAAGUAGUAACUAACCAAGAAAAUACUUUACUAUAACAAACGUUAACCUAACACAAGCACAUUUUAAGAAAGAUUAAAAGAAUAAGAAGGAACUCGGCAAAUAUUAACCUCGCCUGUUUACCAAAAACAUCGCCUCUUGACCCAUCACAUAAGAGGUCCAGCCUGCCCAGUGACUCUGUUUAACGGCCGCGGUAUCCUAACCGUGCGAAGGUAGCGUAAUCACUUGUUCUUUAAAUGAGGACUAGUAUGAAUGGCAUCACGAAGGUUAUACUGUCUCCUUUUUUUGAUCAGUGAAACUAAUCUUCCCGUGAAGAAGCGGGAAUAAACUUAUAAGACGAGAAGACCCUAUGGAGCUUUAAACAACAUAGCAUUUACCACACAAAUAAAAAUUUCUGAAUUAAAGCUUUAUCAAGUAAAAUGACUAUAAGUUUUUGGUUGGGGUGACCGCGGAGCAUAAUAUAACCUCCAUGUUGAAAGAAUCUUAUUCUAAGCCAAGAACUACCCAUCUAAGCAUCAACACUUUGACAUCCAUUGACCCAAUUUUAUUGAACAACGAACCAAGUUACCCUAGGGAUAACAGCGCAAUCCACUUUAAGAGCCCCUAUCGACAAGUGGGUUUACGACCUCGAUGUUGGAUCAGGGUUUCCAAGUGGUGCAGCCGCUACUA